AUAACAAUACAGGACUCUUUCAAGGCUCUGUAAUUGGAAUGAGUUCACUUUAAAUCCUUUAACGAGGAUCUAUUUGGAGGGCAACUCUGGUGCAGAGCGACUGACCCGUGCGUGCUGCAGCUGAAGCUCCAC